rnacentral:pre_miRNA from 1 species
GAUUUCUCUGUGAAUCACCAUAUCAAAUCUAAUGUGGUGGUGGUUUGCAAAGUAAUUCA